rnacentral:tRNA from 1 species
GGGGGUGUAGCUCAGUGGUAGAGCACAUGCUUAGAUGCACAAGGACUUGGGUUCAAUACUCAGCACCACUC